rnacentral:rRNA from 1 species
GAUGAACGCUGGCGGCGUGCCUAAUACAUGCAAGUCGAACGCUUCACUUCGGUGAAGAGCGGCGAACGGGUGAGUAAUACAUAAGUAACCUGGCAUCUACAGGGGGAUAACUGAUGGAAACGUCAGCUAAGACCGCAUAGGUGUAGAGAUCGCAUGAACUCUAUAUGAAAAGUGCUACGGGACUGGUAGAUGAUGGACUUAUGGCGCAUUAGCUUGUUGGUAGGGUAACGGCCUACCAAGGCGACGAUGCGUAGCCGACCUGAGAGGGUGACCGGCCACACUGGGACUGAGACACGGCCCAGACUCCUACGGGAGGCAGCAGUAGGGAAUUUUCGGCAAUGGGGGAAACCCUGACCGAGCAACGCCGCGUGAAGGAAGAAGUAAUUCGUUAUGUAAACUUCUGUCAUAGAGGAAGAACGGUGGAUAUAGGGAAUGAUAUCCAAGUGACGGUACUCUAUAAGAAAGCCACGGCUAACUACGUG